GUCUUCCCUGGCCCUAUGAUUCUUGGGAAGUUUCCGGAACUCCUCAGUCAAGCGGAGGCACUCGUGGAUGUUUUCGGGAGACACAAAGUCUGCAGCUACUUUUGUACAUGACUGCACAUAUAUUCGGCAACAUAACAAGUGAGGAAUAAAUACAGCCUCCCCUAGUCGCUGUGUAAAAGUCCAUGGCUCAACUCCUACAUAAUGAAGCAACAAUCAAGUAAAAAGAUUGGUCGUGAAUUGGAUGGAUAACCUAAUCAUCAACAAGCAUAACCUUCAGAACUUGAAGCACAUAAAAUUAGAUUAAGGAACUCACAGUUGGAAUUACCUGUUUCACUGGAGUACAAUAGGUG